rnacentral:rRNA from 1 species
AGAAUCAACGCUGGCGGCGUGCCUAACACAUGCAAGUCGAACGAGAAAGUGGAGCAAUCCAUGAGUAAAGUGGCGCACGGGUGAGUAACACGUGACUAACCUACCCUUGAGUGGGGAAUAACUUCGGGAAACCGAGGCUAAUACCGCAUAACACCUACGGGUCAAAGGAGCAAUUCGCUUAAGGAGGGGGUCGCGGCAGAUUAGUUAGUUGGCGGGGUAAUGGCCCACCAAGACGGUGAUCUGUAUCCGGCCUGAGAGGGCGCACGGACACACUGGAACUGAAACACGGUCCAGACUCCUACGGGAGGCAGCAGUGGGGAAUUUGCGCAAUGGGGGAAACCCUGACGCAGCAACGCCGCGUGGAGGAUGAAGUCCCUUGGGACGUAAACUCCUUUCGAUCGGGACGAUUAUGACGGUACCGGAAGAAGAAGCCCGGCUAACUUCGCGCCAGCAGCCGC